AAAUAAUCGGGCACCUAAGUAGUUGAUACAAGGGCGAUAAUGUAAAAGAACUUUCGCAUUGUGUGACCUACUUAAAUGCCCGAUUGUUU
rfam:Drosophila persimilis strain MSH-3 cont1.002553, whole genome shotgun sequence.